CGGCCGUGUAAGUUCUCUGUGAAAUCCGGCAGCUUAACUGUCGGGCGUGCAGGGAAUACUGCAUGGCUUGGGGCCGGACGGCGCUGAGGCUAUUCCCGGGGUAGGAGUGAAAUCCUGAAAUCCCGGGAGGAGCACCGGUGGCGAAAGCGCUCAGCGAGGACGGACCCGACGGUGAGGGACGAAAGCCAGGGGAGCGAAGCGGAUUAGAUACCCGCGUAGUCCUGGCCGUAAACAAUGCCCGCUUGAUGUCGGCUAUCCUCCGAGGAUGGCCGGUGCCAAAGCGUAAGCGUUAAGCGGGCCGCCUGGGGA
rnacentral:rRNA from 1 species